GUGGAAGCAAAAAGUCACAAAGGGAACAGAGAAGGACCAGUGUAGGGUCCAGGACCUCCUGGAAAGGACAAUGGGAGACUGUCCAGAUCUUCUUUGAGCCCAGCCUGGACAAAAUGACAAACAGUAUGAAAAGGAUGG